CUCGUUCGACCUUGACAGUGACACAGCUUGUGAUGACAAACCGAAACACGUGUUUACACAAAUAGCGUUGGUGGUAUUAGCCUGUUGUUAUUUCACAUUGCUGAUAAAGCUCACAUGGCAACGAUCGGACAUUAUUUCAAAUCAAGUUAAUGUUGAAAUGAAAUCUAAAAAUAAACGGCAUUGUUAGCUGGGAAACCCCCUCACUUAGUACAGCCAGAUUUGAGGUCACAAAUGAUAAUAUUCAAACGACCUAUGGGAAACCUUCAAGUGUCCGAAGAGCUCGUUCUGUCAAGUGAAAGACAGUAAAUCUUAAGUUGGGAAUGCUGUUAUGACAUUUGGAUCGAAAUGUCAGCUAAAAUAUUUCCCAGAUUUUCGCGAGGAUGGCAUCAGUACUUCAACUCCCGUCAUUUACGAUUUGCAAACGGAAAUUGUCAAGUUAGAUCAUGGACUCUCAGAAAUCGUACAAUCUUAAGCAGUGGCAUUUCGACGUCCCAGCGUUAUACAAAUUGGGAGAAGCCUCAGGGAUAUGACACUGGAAUUAAAGUGUGGAACACUUUAACAAAGACUAAAGAGCCGUUAAUUCUGAGGAAUGACAGAAUGGGAACAUGGUAUAUGUGUGGCCCAACAGUGUACGACUCGGCUCAUAUUGGACAUGCCAGCACAUAUAUGAGAUUCGACAUCAUCCGAAGGAUCAUGGAAAACUUCUUUGACAUCAAUCUUAUGGUGGUCCUGGGAAUCACUGACAUCGAUGACAAAAUCAUCGACAGAUCCAACGAGACUGGCAUCCCCUUCUCACAGAUCACCUGGCAACACAAGAUUGAGUUCUUCGAGGAUAUGGAGGCCCUGAACAUCCUCCCUCCCAGCAGGUCAAUGCAGGUCACAGAGUAUGUCCCGGAGAUCAUCGACUUUGUGAAUGUAAUCAUUAAUAAGGGCUACGCCUAUACCACACCCAGUGGUAGUGUGUACUUCAAUGUCGAGAAGAUUGGCCGAUAUGGGAUACUGUGUGCACCUUCUGGGAGCUGUGACCAGGCAGACAAUCAGGAGAAGAAGAAUGCAGCAGACUUUGUGCUGUGGAAGGCAGCUAAACCCGAUGAGCCUCACUGGGAGGCUCCGUGGGGGAAGGGCGGCCCGGGCUGGCAUAUCGAGUGCUCCACAAUGGCGAGUGAGAUAUUCGGCAACAAGAUGGAUAUUCACUCAGGAGGGACAGACCUGAUCUUUCCUCAUCAUGAAAACGAACUUGCCCAGUCCCAUGCCUAUCAUGGCUGUACCCAGUGGGCCAACUAUUGGAUACACACAGGACAUCUGUUUUUGAAGGAUGACAAGGAGAAAAUGUCGAAGUCGCUGAAGAAUGUGAUAAGUAUAUCGGAACUCCUUGAGAAAUACACAGCCAACCAGUUCCGUGUUCUCUGCCUCCUCACACCCUACCGGAACAACGUUGAGUACACGGACGAGAAGAUGCAGAAGGCAGUGCAGCUGACCAAGCAGAUCCAGAGCUGUCUCCACCAGUGUGACGCAUAUGUCAGAGGUCAACUCCUGACUCAGCCAAUCAACGAGGCCAAACUACAUGAGAGUUUGUCUCGAGCUCGGAGUAACAUUGAGGCAGCUAUGGCGGACGACUUCAACACGGCCCUGAUGAUGGAGAGUGUCAUGGACCUGGUCAAACGUCUCAACAUUGCCCUCGGCGCGAAGGUGGAGACACUGAUGGGAGCUCGGAGUCCGGCGGUCGUCUCACACUGCAGCACGUACCUACAGAACGUCAUGGCCAAGUUGGGUGUCAACCUCCAUCUGGCAGAGCCUCCUGGACAGGACCUGACAACCAGAAGGUUCCAGCACAUCAUGGACAGUGUUGUUGACUUUAGGGCCAAAGUUCGCAACUUCUCUAUCGACCCUCCACAAGAAAUUCUUGUCAAAGAUGCUGACCCAAGUCUGACAGAGAAGAAGGCGAGACGCAAGGUACUGUCACCGUUGUUGCAAGCAUGUGACGUCGUGAGGGAUGAUCUCAAAGCUGCCAAAGUUCAAAUUCUGGAUCAUGGGAAAACCUCGUCCUGGACUCUGACUUCUGAUGAUGAUUCUGACGAUGACAAGUCGGACUGAGGAAAUGUGUACGUUGAUGUGGAGAUGUCAUGAAGUGGAUUUGGAUCUCAGAUUAUCCUGGUGUUGUGAAGAUUUGACCACUCCCCUGAACAUUAUUAAUCAAGCCCUGUUUAUGUUGAAGUUUUGACAUCUGAUUCUGGUGAGGAGAUUCCGGAGAACCUUGAAGAUUUCUUUCAGUUAUAGUUCAGGAAAAGCAGGGUGAUGUGGGAUGGGGUAGGGGUUCCAGGGGGUUGGACACUACCCCCAUUUGAAAAUAUCAUACUGAUAGAAACUGAUGAAAUAAAGAGGGAUGAACUGUCAUUUUGUCAAACAGACUCCCUCCACCCAUCCCCACCCCCCUUCGACGUACACUCACACUGAAAGUUAAAAUGUGAGUUUUGAACACCUACUUGUCCACCUACAAAUACAUCCACAAUGGAAGCAGAAGAUAAACACAAUCAGAUCUACCUCUGUCUAUUUCGAACAGUCUCAAUCUGAAAACAUGGUCAGUAUGCCCAGGAGUUACAUGAUUUAUGAAUGAACUAGCCUUAUGACAUCAGAUAAUAUCCUUACCAAAAUAUACUGAUUUAAAAAAAUGUGUCCUCUGUCAAAUUCUAUAGUUGUGGUAGUUUGUUCUUUGCCUAAAGUGGCUGAAGUAUCCUUAGGUUUGGACAAUAGUCAAUAUACAAACGCCUCAGUUCAAAGAGACUGGGACCCAGUAUACAUCUUUGGAUUCACAAUUCCUGCAUUACUUUGAGCUUUCAAAUAAUGAGCUGUCACAAUGGUCAAUACACUGUUCAAUUCUGUCACACCUUGUAUAAAUGGUAGAAGUAUAUCUGAUUGGUGCAAAUUUGACUGUGAUUAAGUUAAAAGAAUGGUAUAUUUGCUCAUUCAUAUUCCAUAGAGUCACCUGUUCAAUAUUCUGUGUCUGUUUUGUAUGAUCAUAAUGGUCCACAUCUCGUGAUUUGAUUGUCUACAGCUUGUAAACCAAAAUAAUCUGUUGUCCCAUCACCAUACCCCCCUUGAUUAUCCAUCUCGUGAUGUGAGUUGUCUACAGCUUGUAAACCAAAAUAAUCUGUUGUCCCAUCACCUUACACCCCUUGAUUAUCCAUCUCGUGAUGUGAGUUGUCUACAGCUUGUAAACCAAAAUAAUCUGUUGUCCCAUCACCAU
rnacentral:misc_RNA from 1 species